GGCUGGAAUGCAGUGGUGUGACCUUGGCUUGCUGCAACCUCCGCCUCCUGGGUUCAAGCGAUUCUCCUGCCUCAGCCUCCCAAGCAGCUGGGACUACAGAUAAACAACAACAAAAAAAUGAAGAGACAAGAAGUCAAGAGACUUGCCCAAAGAGACCCAGCUAAUGCAGAUGGCAGAGGCAGGAUUCAAGCACAGAUCUUGUCAUUCUAAGUCCAGGACACUCUCCAGUCACCACAGGCUACUGCCUGUGUGUUGAUUUUAUUUUGUGAGUGGGUUGCAUUCAUUUUCAAGGGUGUGUAGGAAUUUAGAAAGCAGAAGAAACCAAAGCGAGCAA
rnacentral:sRNA from 1 species